UCACCAAACCAUUUCAAGACUUGGCUUUAGUUGCUAUGCCAAGGUCGGCAACACUGGAGCAACGACUCAGGCCAGCGACCAAGAUGCUAUUCAAGCGUGGCCAAUUCGAGCUGUGGGUUACAAAGAUCAGACAACAAUGAGUGAAACCUUCAAUUUCUUGUGGCCGGUUCGAUCUCCGCUAUAUGAGGAGUAGAGAGGAAAUGAUUCAUUUCCCAAAAACCCAAUUUCGUGAAGAAGCUUUGAAGAACAAAUAAAAGACAAGAGAACCACCUACCUACAUUCCAUCUUUUUGUGGUGAAAACGAUGUCGAGGUAUGUUCCUCCACUCAACUUUAUAAAUGUUAGGGCUUACAAGUUUUACAAUAAAGGAUGGCAUUCUUCAUUGUGACAUUUGACCGGAUGUUUUUUUAAUAGUUAGAAUACAAACAUGUUGUUCAAUAAGUGGUUAGCAACACAUACACAAGAUAACCGUAUUUUAGCCAUGUCAAUUAAAUUUUGUACAACUGCUGCAAGUUAUGCUCCUUUUAUAGUUGAAAUGUGCAAUACUAUUACAGUAUGUAGAAAAAUAAUUUGUUUUAUGCCUCAAUUUUGUCUACAAUCAAAUGUUGUUUCGUUACAAAUUCAACAAGUUUUCAUUCGUGCAUAAAUUUAUCGCCGACAUUUCUUUUAAAAUUUUGAGAAUUGUAUGUUUAGAAACUAAGACCUCAUGACUGAAUUAAACCCAUCAGUUUUGGGGCUAUCAUAUAAGGAUUGGUGCAUGUAUUUCAUAGAUGGACAGUGAUGAUGCACAAGAGUUGAAGUUGUGGCCAAGCAAGAUUGAGUUGGCCUUCAUACAAAUCAUGGUGGAAGAGGUGAAGCAAGAUCCUUCCUUAACUAGGAAAAACUAUUUCACUACAAGGCAUUGGAGUCGGAUUGACGAUGAGAUGUACAAGCAGUUUAAAGUUAAGUACACAAUUAGUCGUUCAAAGCAAAAGUACUAACGCAUCAGGCAAUCCUACAAUACCUUUGUCAAAUUGAAGAACCAUACGAGAUUUGGAUGGGAUGACCAGAGAAAAAGAGUCACGGCCCCUGAUGACAUUUGGGAUCAAUAUGUUAAGGUGCAUCCCAAAGCUAAAUUUUUUAGGGAAAAACGACUAGAUAACAUGGACUUGUUAGAUGUCCUGUUUGCAAAUUCCCAAGCCACUGGUGCACUUGCUUGUAUUUCAACCCAAGGACCCCCAACCUCUGAUGAAGAAAGGGAUAUUCAAAGUGCAUUCUUUGGUGUUGGUAUCAAUUGUACUACCAAAUCUUUUCAUGCUGAUGAUGAAAUUGAAGGAGAUGAUAACCCCAAGGUGGGUAGGAGUGGCGGUAAUGAUGGUGGGCGAAAGGGCGCACACAUGGAUUUGGCACUCGAUGCAUGGACUGCCACAAAUCUUGCAAAAAAAGAAUUUUAUAUGGUAAGGAGCAAAAUGUCUGAAGCGAGUGAAGCCGACAAGAAUCGGUACUCCAUCGAUGCAUGUAUGGACUAUUUAGCAACAAUGGAAGGAAUCAAUCCCGGCCAAUAUGUAAAGCCAUGUGAGAGCUUCCGCGAUAAACAAACUAGAAAAAUGUUCAUCAGGAUGCCUCCAAUAUAAAGAUGCAUUGGGGUUCUUAAGUCAGCUUAGGAAUGAACUUCAAAAAUGGCUGCAAUUUUGUCUUGUUGUGUAAUGCCUCGAAAUAAUUAACAUUAACCUAUCUCAUAAUAGUGCUACAAUUGAUCAACAA